rnacentral:lncRNA from 1 species
AAAGAAAGUAGACAGCAGCAUUCUCAGGAGAUUCUUUGUGAUGUUUGCUUUUAAGUCACAGAGUUGAAUAUUCCCUUCAAUAGAGCAGGUUUGAAACACUCUUUCUGUAGUAUCUGGAAGUGGACAUUUCGAUCGAUUUCAGGCCUAUGUUGAAAAAGGAAAUAUCUCUACAUAAAAACUAGACAGAAGCAUUCUCAGAAACGUCUUUGUGAUGUGUGUCCUCAACUAACAGAGUUCAACCUUUCUUAUGAUACAGCAGUUUGGAAACACUCUUUUUAUAGAAUUUGCAUGUUGAUAUAUGGAUAGCCCUAACUAUUUCGUUGGAAACGGGAAUAUCUUCAUAUAAAACCUAGACAGAAACACUCUCAGAAACUACUUUGUGAUAUCUGCAUUGAUAUCAGAGAGUUGAAUAUUCCCUUUCUAAGGGCAGGUUUGAAAGCGUCUUUUUGUGGAAUCUGCAGGAGGAUAUUUGGAUAGCUUUGAGGAUUACGUUGGAAACGGGAUUACAUAUACAAAGUAGACAGCAGCAUUCUCAGAAGCUUCUUUGUGAUGUUUGCUUUUAAGUCACAGAGUUGAACGUUCCCUUUCAUAGAGCAGGUUUCAAACUCUCUUUCUGUAGUAUCUGGAAGUGGAUAUUUCGAGCGCUUUCAGGCCUAUGGUGAACAAGGAAAUAUCUUCCCAUGCAAACUAGACAGAAGCAUUCGCAGAAACUUGUUUGUGAUGUGUGUCCUCAACUCACAGAGUUGAACAUUUCGUUUGACAGAGCAGUUUGGAAACACGAUUUUUGUAGAAUCUGCAAGUGGAUAUUUGGAUGGCUUUGUGGAUUUCGUUG